AGAUCUCUAAUAUUCAUUGAGUCAAGAGGACACCCAAAAAUAUUAAUUGGCCAGGCAGUCAGAAAGCAACGUUUGAGAGAAAAGUGUGUAAGUUGGUGUGUUGGAAAAAGAGUUGUGUUUACUGGUUAAAUCAGGCUGCUAAAUUUAAUAGUGGUGAAUAUGUGGGAAAUAGUUGAUCUUGAGUAGGUGCCCGCACAAGUAGGUGUAAAAGCCUCUGUUCAAUUAGGAACGAUCCCUCGAGUGCUGUCUGGUAAGACUCGGGGCCGUACCUGGGGCUCGAUUGACACGAAUAAACAGAAGGUUAUAGUAAAAAUAUAUCCUUUGUCUGAUUCGUUGAGAUGCUUACUGUUUAGGGACAGUGGAGCGUCUGGGUAAGCCCUUACUAUUCUAGGUGACACUAGCCAGUCAUCAAAUAAAGGAAGAUAACAUGUUUGACAUAUGUAUAUAUUGAAAUGUGACAUUGUGUAAAUUGAUGUUGAUUGAGAUGAUGCAAGGGAACGGUUCCCCGAGACCCACUGGCUAAGAACAACUCUGACAGACAACUCUAUGGCUAGAAGGCAAAAGCUUUAUAACUUCGAAAUCCUGAAAUGAAGAAAGUGACAUUGAAGAACAAGACCAAAUAGAAUUUCGAGAGAUUGCGAUUCUGAAACUGAAUAAGAGGAUGACUCGGAUGAUGACGACAUCGAACCUCCCGAAAAUAAUUUUUUCAUUGGCAAAGACAAGGUAUCUUGCUACUGGAGACAGUAUGACAUCAAUUUCAUUUUCCUUUCGGAUUGCUCAUUCUACUAUUUCACAAAUUAUAAGGGAAACAUGUGAUGCUAUUUGGGAAUGUUUGCACGAAAAAGUGUUACCAAAACCAGAUGAAGAUACUUGGAGAAAUAUUGCAGAAGGCUUUAGCGAAAAAUGGCAAUUACCACAUUGUGUGGGCGCCAUAGACGGGAAACAUGUUAUAAUUCAAGCACCUCCAAAAUCAGGCUCAACAUACUACAAUUAUAAAGGUUCACACAGUAUUGUACUAAUGGCUUUGUGUGAUGCCAAUUAUAAAUUUAUAAUGGUUGACAUAGGAGCAGAGGGUCGCCAUAGUGAUGGAGGAAUAUUCAAAAAUAGUAAUAUGGGCAGAUUAAUUGCAACAAACAAUCUAAAUUUUCCUCCACCAUGUGCAUUAAUUGACAAUGGUGAUGAAGUUAAUUUUUACAUUUGUGGGGAUGAAGCUUUUCCUUUAUCCACAUGUCUAAUGCGUCCAUAUCCAGGCCGAUUUUUACCUCAGAUUAAAAGGAUUUUUAAUUAUAAGUAGGUUGUCUAGAGGAAGAAGGGUUGUAGAAAAUGCUUUCGGUAUAUUGUCAGCAAAAUGGAGAGUUUAUCGAAAACCAAUCAUUGCACAAGAAGAAACUGUUCGUAGCAUUGUUAAGGCCACUGUUUGUCUUCAUAACUUUUUAAUUGGUGCAGAGAAAAAAUAUGUGUCUCCGACUCUUGUGGAUAGAGAAGAUAUUGAAGGGCAACAAAUUGACGGGGAAUGGCGUAACUAUGCUACCUCGAAUCUUCCCAAUAUCAGAAGAACUAGUACUAAUAUGUAUGGACGGACAGCAGAUAUAAUGAGGAAUAAAUUAGCUACAUUCUUCUGCAAUGAAGGAGCUGUACCAUUUCAAUGGGCAAAAUAAUAAUAAUCUAUUAUAAAAUUCUUUAUCUUUAUUAAACAGCACUUUAUAUAAUGGUAAUAAUUAUUA